AUUGAACGCUGGCGGAAUGCUUUACACAUGCAAGUCGAACGGCAGCACGGACUUCGGUCUGGUGGCGAGUGGCGAACGGGUGAGUAAUGUAUCGGAACGUGCCCAGUCGUGGGGGAUAACGUAGUGAAAAUUACGCUAAUACCGCUUACGAUCCAUGGAUGAAAGCGGGGGAUCGCAAGACCUCGCGCGAUUGGAGCGGCCGAUAUCAGAUUAGGUAGUUGGUGGGGUAAAGGCCCACCAAGCCAACGAUCUGUAGCUGGUCUGAGAGGCCGACCAGCCCCACUGGAACUGAGACACGGUCCAGACUCCUACAGGAGGCAGCAGUGGGGAAUUUUGGACAAUGGGCGAAAGCCUGAUCCAGCCAUUCCGCGUGCAGGAUGAAGGCCCUCGGGUUGUAAACUGCUUUUGUACAGAACGAAAAGGUUUCUACUAAUACUAGGAGCUCAUGACGGUACUGUAAGAAUAAGCACCGGCUAACUACGUGCCAGCCGCCGCCGUAA
rnacentral:rRNA from 1 species